rnacentral:tRNA from 1 species
GAGGGUAUAGCUCAGUGGUAGAGUGUGUGUUUAGCAUGCACGAGGUCCUGGGUUCAAUCCUCAGUACCUCUA